AAUUCAGAGCUAUAUCAAGCCUAAAUGUUGUGUCCAUACUUGCCCCAACUGUUCAGAGUUCGACCGCUGCAGUCGUAUAAAGCUGCGCCCUGUAGAGUAUCUGGUUAUUACAUGUGGUUAUGAAAUAAAUUUUAUUGCAAUUUGAAAUAUUUGUGUUUGUCUCAGCUGGUAGUAAUAGGCCAACUGUAUUUUACAUGUCUUAUUCCCAAGCCUCAAAUUGCUAGAGAUUACAUUCUAGGAGGAAACUUAACAUUACUGUUAUGUCCACUGUUCUCCCAGAAUUGACAUAGGGAUAACUAACUGGUUCAUGUCAGCGUCACAAAAUUUCAGUUGCCAGUUUUUGAGGAACUACUAGGAGUAGUCUCUUUAUAUUUGGCAUAAAGCUUUAUCACAAUAUACAAAAUAUAGCACUUUUCUAGGUAAGAGGC
rnacentral:lncRNA from 1 species